UACGUAGGGUGCGAGCGUUAAUCGGAAUUACUGGGCGUAAAGCGCGCGCAGGCGGUUCUCCAAGUCCGCUGUGAAAGCCCCGGGCUCAACCUGGGAAUGGCAGUGGAAACUAGGGGACUUGAAUCUGGCAGAGGGGGGUGGAAUUCCACGUGUAGCAGUGAAAUGCGUAGAGAUGUGGAGGAACACCGAUGGCGAAGGCAGCCCCCUGGGCUGAGAUUGACGCUCAGGCACGAAAGCGUGGGGAGCAAACAGG
rnacentral:rRNA from 1 species